CCCAGAGUACCCUGUCUAACUGAUAGGGACGUGUCUCCCCAGAGUACUAUGCCUAUGAUCAGGAGGACAGGACAGACGAGGAGGGGGAACAACUCUUCUCAGAGGACGAGGCUGUCACCCAGAGAGGUCUGAGGAGGUCCCAGAGUGUCAAGAUCGUGCGCUCUAAAGCCCGCAAAGAUGCCCGUUAUGGAUCUCUGAAGAUCAAAGGGAAGCGGAGGCCGGUUCUGAGUGCUGCUACCUACAGUGCCAUGUAAUGACCGGCCCAGGUGACUGCUGGCUGGUGCCAUGGAUGGGUUUCCUUCUGUAGUGCUCUACUGUUGAGCCCUGGCCAACAGUAGUGCAUUAUGGGCCCUGGCAAACAGUAGUGCAUUAUGGGCCCUGGCCAACAGUAGUGCAUUAUGGGCCCUGGCCAACAGCAGUGCACGAGAAUGGGAAUAGGCUUUUUGGGACGGACCAAUAAAUCAGUCAACAAUUCAGGAAGGACUCAGGAAGGACGGCUCCACCAUCCAUAUCAGUGACUACUGACGGCUCCACCAUCCAUAUCAGUGACUACUGACGUGUCAGACCAUCCAUAUCAGUGACUACUGACGUGUCAGACCAUCCAUAUCAGUGACUACUGACGUGUCAGACCAUCCAUAUCAGUGACUACUGACGGCUCCACCAUCCAUAUCAGUGACUACUGACGUGUCAGACCAUCCAUAUCAGUGACUACUGACGUGUCAGACCAUCCAUAUCAGUGACUACUGACGUGUCAGACCAUCCAUAUCAGUGACUACUGACGGCUCCACCAUCCAUAUCAGUGACUACUGACGUGUCAGACCAUCCAUAUCAGUGACUACUGACGUGUCAGACCAUCCAUAUCAGUGACUACUGACGUGUCAGACCAUCCAUAUCAGUGACUACUGACGGCUCCACCAUCCAUAUCAGUGACUACUGACGUGUCAGACCAUCCAUAUCAGUGACUACUGACGUGUCAGACCAUCCAUAUCAGUGACUACUGACGUGUCAGACCAUCCAUUCUAUGGAGUACGAUGCUGUGGAACUGUUCUGCUGGUGUUUUUAUAACUGUCCUGGGGUCUAAUUCUAUUCACGCUGGGAGCAUCUGUCUUUUUUUAAAUGAACCAUCAACUCACUAUAUUUAUGACAUGAUUCUGACUGUGUGUAUUUAAACCAUCGUACAGCGGCAGCUGUAAGGAAAGAAUCUUAAGGUUUCCUGUCUUUUAGUUGUGUGUUUUUGUUGCAUGGAUCUUAUUUUCUGGGUCGUUUUAAUGUGCGGAUGUGGACUUUUUAGGAUCUUGGCUUUUUUUUUCGGAGGGGGGUUAUAUAAUUAUUUUAGCUUCAUUUUGUCAUAUAUGCUGCCUUGUAUUUUGAGUUUAGCCUAUUAAAUAGUAGAAUACAUUAUAAUAGUGAUCAUUCUGACACACUUAAAAAGAUUGUUACAAAGUAACAGCUGACCAAAAAGUGUCCCUAAACCAAUGAUGAGAGAAAGGGAACAGAGAAUCCUGUUAUUGGCUUGUGUCCCAAAUGGCAUCAUUCCCUAUACAGGGCACUACUCAAUGGGCCCUGGUCUAAAGUAGUGCGCUGUGUAGGGAAUAGGGUUCCAUCGGGCCCUGCUCUAAAGUAGUGCACUAUGUAGGGAAUAGGGUUCCAUAGGGCCCUGCUCUAAAGUAGUGCACUAUGUAGGGAAUAGGGUUCCAUAGGGCCCUGCUCUAAAGUAGUGCACUACGUAGGGAAUAGGGUUCCAUAGGGCCCUGCUCUAAAGUAGUGCACUACGUAGGGAAUAGGGUGCCAUUAGGGAUGCAAACUCAAUGUUGAGGUAUGUUUGUUGACUGUAACUGGCCUGUCCAGUUUGAAUGACUGCAUUUCCUGUUUUAGAUUUUGGAACAAAGCUUUUUUCAUAACCAAUCUUUUUGCAACUCUCUUCCAAAACGAUGUCCUUUUGGAAGGCUUUGAUGUCAUCUGUUUUUAAAAUGUGUCCUGCUGCAUUCUGGGAUGCUUUUAACCACGUGAUGAAACCUAUUUAAUACCAAAGCUUUAUCUACUAAACCAGUGACCUGGGUCUGAUUCGUGUGGGAAUGUAUCAUAGAGGUGUUGUAAAUAAAUGUAUACAUUCAA